AUUGAACGCUGGCGGCAUGCCUUACACAUGCAAGUCGAACGGUAACGGGCCUUCGGGUGCCGACGAGUGGCGCACGGGUGAGUAAUACAUCGGAACGUGCCCGAUCGUGGGGGAUAACGAGGCUGAAGCUUUGCUAAUACCGCAUACGAUCUACGGAUGAACGCAGGGGACCGCAAGGCCGUUCGCGGACGGAGCUGCUGAUGGCAGAUUAGGUAGUUGGUGGGAUCAAAGCUUACCAAGCCGACGAUCUGUAGCUGGUCUGAGAGGAUGAUCAGCCACACUGGGACUGAGACACGGCCCAGACUCCUACGGGAGGCAGCAGUGGGGUAUUUUGGACAAUGGGCGCAAGCCUGAUCCAGCCAUGCCGCGUGCAGGAUGAAGGCCUUCGGGUUGUAAACUGCUUUUGUACGGAACGAAAAGCCUUCUUUUAAUACAGGAGGGUCAUGACGGUACCGUAAGAAUAAGCACCGGCUAACUACGUG
rnacentral:rRNA from 1 species